GGGGCUGUAGCUCAAUUGGUAGAGUACUUGCCUACCAUGCAUGAGACCCUAGGUUUGAUGCCCAGCACUGCCU
rnacentral:tRNA from 1 species